rnacentral:rRNA from 1 species
UACGUAGGAGGCAAGCGUUGUCCGGAUUUACUGGGCGUAAAGAGCGCGCAGGCGGUCGUUUAAGUCGAAUGUGAAAGCCCCCGGCUCAACUGGGGAGGGUCAUUCGAUACUGAUCGACUUGAAGGCAGGAGAGGGAAGUGGAAUUCCGGGUGUAGUGGUGAAAUGCGUAGAUAUCCGGAGGAACACCAGUGGCGAAGGCGACUUCCUGGCCUGUUCUUGACGCUGAGGCGCGAAAUCUGGGGGAGCAAACGGG